rnacentral:rRNA from 1 species
CAUGUAGGCGGUUAUAUAAGUCUGGUGUGAAAGACUACAGCUUAACUGUAGAAACGCAUUGGAAACUGUAUGACUUGAAUCUGUGAGGGGUAAUUGGAAUUCCUAGUGUAGGGGUGAAAUCUGUUGAUAUUAGGAAGAACACCGAUGGCGAAGGCAAAUUACUGGCACAUGAUUGACGCUGAGAUGCGAAAGCGUAGGGAGCGAACAGGAUUAGAUACCCUGGUAGUCC